UCCUGGUUAGCUAGUUGGUAGAGCGCUCACUGGAAAUGGAGGGGACCCUGGUUCGAUACCUGGACAAGGUG
rnacentral:tRNA from 1 species